AGAGCAACAGAGCAAGACUGUCUCAAAAAAAAACAAAAAAGAAUUUUUGUACCCAGUGAAUAACUGCUAUGAAGAAACCUGAAAAAGAAAACAAGGAUAAGGGAAACAAUGAGGCAGCAGGGGUGAGACUGCACACAGCAUUGUCAGGAAAGGCCUUUCUCCUAAGGUGACUGUAGGGAAGAGACUUUAAGGAACUGAAAAAGGAGGCCAUGUGUUUUUCUUGGCCAAGAGUGUUCAAGGGAAAGCGAACAGCAUAUUCAAAGGCCUUGAGGAAGGAGGGUGCUAGAACAGCUGGCCAGAGCACAGUGAGCUGAGGACACGGGGAAUAGAAGAGUUUAGUAAGGAAAUGUGGGGCAGUUUAUGUUGGGACUAGUAAAGCAUGGCCAGAAUUUUGAAUUUUAUCCCGACUGACAUGUAAGAGCUACAAGAGAGGUUUGACUUAUGAAGAUCCCCACACUUGCUGCUAUGGAGAAAAGUGAAAGGAAAAGUGGGGUGACCAGAUAUAGACACCGCAAUAACUAGGGAGAGAUGAUGGUGGCUUUGAUAGGAUUAUAGUGGUCAAGUUGGUGAGCUUCAGGUUCUGGAUACAUGCAGAGAACAGAGGCAACAGGAUUUACAGAUGAAUUACAUGAGACACGGAAGAAUGACUCCGGGGCUUUAAGAUUUUUUUUUGAAGAACAGAGCAGGGUACCCCGCGACCCAAGCCAAGACGCUCUCAGGAAGAAAGCCCAGCACGCAGCCGCCCUCGCACCCUGAUUGCCCCCGGGGCGAGGUCCCCGGCUGGAGCAGGGCUGCAGAAGCCGGGAAGCAACGCCGAGGACCGAGCCGACCGAUGGGCGCAUGCAGUGAGGGGAACCGGGGCCGCCAUGCCGGGCACGUUCCCAAAGGGUUGCACUGGGCGCUGCAGCGUGGGAAACCCCCGUGGCGGUCACCACUGGCGCUAGCUGAGGCGAGACUCACCUUGAGCCGUGGCCCCCUCACUGCUGUAACCCGGGUUCCAUGGCUGCAUGGACAGCUCAAUUUUCAUCAGAAGGGAGCCUCAAAAUUCUAGCAUACUGCGACCCAAAACUUACAAACCGCCUCAGCUGGCGACCUACCGGAAAAAAAAAAAAAAAGCAUGCGGCGCAUGCGCGUCCAAGGCCGCGGACCGGAAGCUGGGGCUCGCCUGUUGGGAGCCGCGUCCGCCGGUGUUGGUGUCUGCACUUGGAAGGACGUAGGGAAUGCGUUGUCCCUGCUAGGUACUUUUCAGUCGCAGAGUUCUCUUCUUCUUCUUUCUUUCUUCCUUUUUUUUUUUUUUGAGACGGAGUCUCGCUGUGUCUCUCAAGCUGGAGUGCAGUGGCGCGAUCUCGGCUCACUGCAGCCUCCGCCUCCUGGGUUCAAGCGAUUCUCCUGCCUCAGCCUCCCGAGUAGCUGGGAUUACAGGCGCCCACCACCAUGCCCAGAUAAUUUUUGUAUUUUUCAGUAGAAAUGGGGUUUCACCAUGUUGGCCAGGCUGGUCUCGAACUCCUGACCUCAGGUGAUCCACCGGCCUCGGCCUCCCACAGUGCUGGGAUUACAGGCCUGAGCCACCGUGCCCGGCCGGAGUUUUUCUACUUAAUACCUCUCCAUGCCAACCCCGUUGUCAUUUCCCAGCGGCCGCCUCUAUAACGGGCACUUUUCAGGGACAAAGAAUUGGUCCGUUAAUGUUCCUCAAAUUCGAACGCGCCUAGGAAUAGUUCGGGGAUCCUGUUGAAGUGCAGAUCAGGAUUCCGUAGGUAGGGGUGGGGUUCCAAAUUCUACAUUUCUAGUAUCUUCCCACACGAUGGUGAUCCUCCUUGUCCCUGAAUCAUGGAGGAGGGCAAUUAGGGAGAUGUGAGCCUGGAUGCAUGGUGGCCUUGGCUAUCUUAGGUGUUCUUGCCCAUUAACCAAGCUGGGAGGAACCGUGUGAAUGCAUAUCUAUCCCUGUUAAUAAAAGGGUAGUUUGAAGGAGAUGCUGACAGGAGAAUAAUUAGAAAUGUUUUUCUUCCCAAUCCAACUAUAUGCAAUACACUUUAUAAUAUUCAUUUUAGAAAUGUCAUAGAUAAGAUUUGUAAACAUUGACAUUUAGCAAUACUAAAUAUCACUGCUAGGUCUCCCCUCCACUUUUUUUUUUUAAACAAAAAUACGACAGUAUGUAUUGUAGGUCUUCAUAAACUACGUCUUCUGCAUAGUGUUUCAUGAGCGUUUUUCAAUGUCAUAAUUUAUUUUUUCCUCCAACAUUUAUUAUGAAAAAAUUCAAGUGUAAAGCGAAGUCGAGAGAAUUUUACAGUGGAGCAGACCUCAAGAGAAGGGGAAGGAUGGAUUUCCCCUCUAUUUAGCAGUGUCUGAAGACAUUUUGGGUUGUCACAACUGGAAGGAUGGUAUUGGCAUGGGGUAGGUAGAGCACAGGGAUGUUCCUCAACUUCCUACAAUGAACAGGACAUCCCCCGACAACAACAAAUUUGCUGGUCCAAAAUGUUGAUAGUGUUGAGGUUGAAAAACACUGACCUGGAGAGUACAGAAUUUUACUCUACCAGCUUUGUCACAUACCUCAUCAAUCUAUCUGUUUUCAUACAUUUAAAAGUAAACUGCAGACAGUACGCUUCUAAGUACCUCUAAUGCACAUCAUUGGAGUUCAAAUUAAGGAUUUUUUAAGGUAAAAAUGAAAUGCAUACCUUAAAUACACAUCAGUUUUUAAAUGCACACGCCUAUGGAACUCAAGCCAUAUUAACAUAUAGAACGUUACCAUCACCCUAGAAAGUUCUUUCAUGCCCUUUCUUAGUUCCCAACCAGUUCUCCCCAAAGGUAACCACUGUUCUGAUUUUUUCCCCCACCAUACUUAUUUUUCUUGUUAUAGAACGUCAUAUGGUUGGAGUCAUGCAAUAGAUAUUUUUGUGUAAGGGUUCUUUCACUCAGGGUAAUAUUUUCAUCUGAUAUCAUGUGUAUCACUUUCUUUUGAUUGCUCAGUAGUAUUCCAUCAUAUGAAUAUACCAGUUCCAUUCUUGUUUUGAUAGAAACCUGGGCUGUCUUCAGUUUUUUGGCUAUUAUAAAUAAAGCUGCUGUGAACGUUCUUAUAUAGCA